rnacentral:rRNA from 1 species
GUGCAGCAGCCGCGGUAAUACCGGCAGCCCAAGUGAUGGCCGCUGUUAUUGGGCCUAAAGCGUCCGUAGCUGGCCGCACGAGUCCGUCGGGAAAUCCGCCCGCUCAACGGGCGGCCGUCCGGCGGAACCUGUGUGGCUUGGGACCGGGAGGCCUGUGGGGUACGAUCGGGGUAGGAGUGAAAUCCUGUAAUCCCGCUCGGACCGCCGAUGGGGAAACCACCUCAGGAGAACGGAUCCGACAGUGAGGGACGAAAGCCAGGGUCUCGAACCGGAUUAGAUACCCGGGUAGUCC